rnacentral:lncRNA from 1 species
UCCAAAAUAAUCUCUUUGAGCUUGGACCAAAUUAGCAGGCAGCCUGUCCCUCCUGUAGGAAUCAAAGUAAGCAAGACUAGAAGACAUACCCGGAGUGCUAAUGCCUGAGUUGAUGGCAAGGCAAACAACCCUUCGCCAGGCAGACUGUCGCUCAACUAUCUCCUUUGCAAACUCUGGAUCCACAAGAAGGUUAGCAAGAUCUGCAUUCCUAUCAUAGGCCUUCUUGAUACGGUCCAAAAAUAUUGCACGAAUAAUGCAACCUCCCUUCCAAAUCCUGGCAAGCUCACCCAGUUUCAAAUCCCAUCCCUUCUCAAUGCUCUUUGCCCGGAUAAGAUUCAUUCCCUGUGCAUAACUACAAAUUUUGGAUGCAUAAAGUGCCUGCCUCACAUCAUCUAUCAACUUCUUCUUGUCCACAGUCUGGUCAGACAAG